AUCAGUCUUUGGCCUUUUGGCUAGGUCAAGUGUAGCAUCUAUUCUUAGCAGUUUAGAAUCUGAUAUGUCCUUGUCUGAGGACAAUAUAGUAAAUGGGUUUUCGAGCUGGGAGAUGGAGUAGGAGCUUGCUCUGUCCACUGCACACAUUAACCUGGUACCGCAGCACCUCCAGAAACAGUGUACUCCUU
ensembl:snRNA U2 U2 spliceosomal RNA